GCCUUCGUGGUGUAGUGGUAGCACGCUUGACGCGUAUUCGAGAGGUCCGUGGUUCGAGUCCCAGCGAGGACA
rnacentral:tRNA from 1 species